rnacentral:lncRNA from 1 species
AUAAAAGCAUUGUUACUAUAAAAAGAUGUAGAAAACACUACGUACGCUCAUGGCAUAUAUAUUUUCAAGAGUGACUGCCUUCAGCAAAUGGAUUAAAAAUAACCAAUCACAGAACAGUUUGAGUCAGAAGGGACCUUCAAAGGCCGCCUGCUCCCACUGCCUGCAGUGCACAGGGACACCCACAGCUCCAGCAGUGCUCACAGCCCCAUCCCCUGACCGUGGCUGUCUGCAGGGAUGGGGCACCACCACCUCUCUGUGCACUCUGUGCAGUGCCUCACCUCCCUCAGUGUAAAAACAUCUUCCUUAUAUCCAAUCUAAAUCUCCCCUCUUUCAGUUUGAUAGAAUCCAGCCAGCUGUUGAUGGGGGUGUGCUCUGGCAAUAGAAGAACACGGGUGAGCUGACAGUAAGUCCUCAAGAGCUGCUCUUAACAUUCCUGGACCUGGAAAGGUUGUCCCCAGGCUGAGGAGCAAUGACAGUUUGCUCGAGCACAGAUCAGAGCUGGUGGAGCCCCCUGUUCCACGGCAAGAAUGGAGCUGAUGACAGCCAGGAGCACAGAGUAUUUCUGUGACCCACAGAGCUUAACCUGCAGUCCCCAUCCCGGUGGCUGACUCAGCUCCCAGUGGCACAGCAGCUGGCUGUGUUUUCUCCUUCAAUCCCGCACUCCUCACCAAGAACAGGUUUGGGUCUGUAGGGCUCUCAUGAGGAAGCGCUGCUGUCUGCAGCUUCAGUCCCAAGCUGCUGCCUUCUUCCAUUUGCUGAUUGCAUUCGUGUUUUGGGGGCCAGCUGAGACCAAGUGCCUAAAUGAACCGGAAACGCCCAGGCUAAAUCUCCUCCCUGCCUGCUGCAGGGUCACACCUAUGCUGCUCUCUGCAAGUUUACACCGUCGUAAUCUUCCUGAUCCCGACCUCCGUCUGCUUCGUGGGACUGAUCCACGCCCCUCAGCAGCUGAGCUCUGGUCUCGGCACUCGAGCUUCCCUUCCGUGCCCAUCCUCGCGUGGGUUUCUUGCAAAAUAAGCACGCAGCUGGUUUUGCAAAAAGUUUAGGAAAACAAACAAAAAGUUAACAUCCAUUCGGUGUAUCCUCUUCCUGCAGCUUCCGCUCAUGGACGUCCAUCGGGGCCAAACUGGGGGGGGGAAACUGCUGCGAAAACGGAAAACGUCAGCACGAAGGGAGCGGGGCUCCGGGCUGGGGGGGCUCGGUGGGGCCGGGCCGGG